UGCCUAUCAUGACUGAAGCCCUGGACUCC
rnacentral:piRNA from 1 species